UACGUAGGGUGCAAGCGUUAAUCGGAAUUACUGGGCGUAAAGCGUGCGCAGGCGGCUAUGCAAGACAGAUGUGAAAUCCCCGGGCUCAACCUGGGAACUGCAUUUGUGACUGCAUGGCUAGAGUACGGGUAGAGGGGGAUGGAAUUCCGCGUGUAGCAGUGAAAUGCGUAGAUAUGCGGAGGAACACCGAUGGCGAAGGCAAUCCCCUGGACCUGUACUGACG
rnacentral:rRNA from 1 species